rnacentral:tRNA from 1 species
GUAGCUCAGAGGAUUAGAGCACGUGGCUAUGAACCACGGUGUUAGGGGUUCGAAUCCCUCC